rnacentral:lncRNA from 1 species
CAGCAAUCUCUGGUGUCCAGCACAGACAUUCUUGGACGUUAGGCUGUUACACUAUGUUAAUUAUUUUUGGCAGAGUGAAACAGAGGGAUGCUGUCUGACAAAAUCGAUUCAGACAGAGCCGGUGGUGGACCAACUUCAUCCUCUCUAUUAGCUGGUUCCAGAAAACACUGCACCAAGGAGCUCACAGAGAGUUCGAUACAGGAUUGUAGAUUGAGAUGGGAAACACUUACCAAGAAACACUUGUUUGUGGGAUGAUGAAGAGCUGGCUUCCUUCCUAACUCUGAAAUGCCUUAGAGACCACGAGCCCACCUUGAAUUCGCCUCCAGAAGGAACAGGCUUGCCUUGAAGACAUCAUCCCAGAAGAGGGAAUUGGUCAUUAAGAACAUCAACAUUGACUUAUCCCACUAAUCCUGUGUUGAUGAAAAAACAAACAAACAAACCAGAAAAAUAAUGGAUGUGCUUUUCUUCACAGUAACCAGUUGAAUUGAGUAAAAAAUAAGUAAAAAUUAAAAAUUAUAGAAAUGCACACAACGGG